rnacentral:rRNA from 1 species
AACGAACGCUGGCGGCAUGCCUAACACAUGCAAGUCGAACGAGACCUUCGGGUAUAGUGGCGCACGGGUGCGUAACGCGUGGGAACCUGCCUUUAGGUUCGGGUUAACUCCCCGAAAGGGGUGCUAAUACCGGAUAAAGUCCUCGGACCAACGAUUUAUCGCCUUUGGUUGGGCCCCGGUUGGAUUAGCUAGUUGGUAGGGUAAAAGCCUACCAAGGCGACGUUCCAUAGCUGGUCUGUGAGGAUGAUCAGCCACACUGGGACUGAGAAACGGCCCAGACUCCUACGAGAGGCAGCAGUGGGGAAUCUUGGACAAUGGGCGAAAGACUGAUCCAGCUAUGACGCGUGAGUGAUGAAGGCCUUAAGGUUGUAAAGCUCUUUUACACGGGAUGAUAAUGACAGUACCGGGAGAAUAAGCUCCGGCUAACUCCGUG